CUCUGAAGGACAGGUAAAUUCAAAGAAUUUCUCCAUUAUUCAAUACAUGUACUAAUUCUUAGGUUUAGUUACAGGGUUCUUUGGAUCAGAUAUCUAAAUCUCGAGAUGUUCCUUCUAUUGCAAAGACAAAUUCAAAAAGAAAAAGAAUUUAUGGCGACGGUCAUAGUCAACAACUUGGUACUAUUGGGCAGCAGAAUAAUAGCAAGGAAACAUUUGUCGAUGACAGGGAGAAGCAGCCAUCAUACAAACGUCCUGCU